GGGACUGAUCCCGUACCGUGCUACUGCCUUGACCUAGGAUUCUUUUCCUCACAUCGGAUUCUGAACUGAAAAACGGAAGCUUUCAAGGAAGGAGAUUCUAAGACAUCACAUUCUGUGGCAAAGAGCCCAUUCGAUGGCAUCCGCGCCCGCUUGAAUUUCACUUUCACUCUUGGAUAGCUAUAGCUACGGGGCUUUUCUGGCUUGAACGGGAAGAAAUCCAUGAGAGGAAAACUA
rnacentral:lncRNA from 1 species